AUAUAUUCUUUUGAAAAGUUAAUUAUUUAUACAUUAUUUGCCUUAAAAAUAUAAUUUUUAACUUAGCUAUGAAUAUUUAAUUAAUUCAACUUAUAAUACAAUAAUUAAUCAAUGUAUUUUAAAAAUUUACUGUUAUAAUUUAGUUAAACAAUAAUUUCCCAAAUUAUUUGUUUCUUGUGUUUCCUCAUUAAUUAAUUUCUUUGUUAAAAAUUGGGAAGUACAUUAAUUAUUAAUAGGUAUAUAAUAUAUAAUUUUCAAAGGCUUAGGCAAUUUAUAUGUAUAAUAUGAUUUUUAUUGGAGAAGUUUUCAUAUAGGUACUUAAUUAGAAGGAGGAACUGUCUGGACCUUAUUUAUCAACCAACUAUCUAUAUUUUCAGUGUUUCAUUUAUAAUUAUAUAUUUUCCUCCCAUUCUUUUUAAUCCUUUUUACAGUAGAUAUUCUUAAGUUCUACUGUUCACCAAACUACUAGUAAUUAAUAAGAAUGUACUAAGUAUCCAAAAGAAAUUUACAUAUUUAAAAUAUUAAUUUAUACAAAAUUUAGACAAAAAUUAUACUACAUAAUAAUAUAAAAUUUAGCUUAAAGCUAGUUGUGUAAUACUAGUUGUGUAGGUGUAUUUUUCAGUUUAUACCUAUACAUUAAUAUUUGAAAUAUAAUAUAUUUAUAUUCCUUAUUAUUACUAUUUUUUAAUAAUUAAGUAUUUCAUUUCACUAUUAUAUUAUACUAAUA